AAAGCGUGCGCAGGCGGUUUUGUAAGUCUGAUGUGAAAUCCCCGGGCUCAACCUGGGAAUUGCAUUGGAGACUGCAAGGCUAGAAUCUGGCAGAGGGGGGUAGAAUUCCACGUGUAGCAGUGAAAUGCGUAGAUAUGUGGAGGAACACCGAUGGCGAAGGCAGCCCCCUGGGUCAAGAUUGACGCUCAUGCACGAAAGCGUGGGGAGCAAACAGGAUUAGAUACCCCGGU
rnacentral:rRNA from 1 species